rnacentral:rRNA from 1 species
AUGGUGACCACAAGCCCACAACUCUAUCUCUACCUCCUCAGGCCACGGAUCCUCUUCGUCUCAACUGCCGACGCAAGGUCACACACCCCCUCUCCCCACUCUUCUCAUCCCUUGUUCGCCGAAUCAGUCUCUGAAGUGCCCAAGGAUCCGCUCGAGCUUGUCAUGCUCGCUGGCCGACCCAGAGCUAGGUGUGGACAAACGCAUCUCCACCAGAUCGGCGGCCAUGCCAAUCGUGCAUCGGAACCUCCGCAGCCGAUGCCUUCCUCUCCGUCUCGCUCGCCCGGCGCUUGGAGCGUCUGUUCGUUGAUGGCUCCCACCACCCUGUGCGUGCGGCUGUGCUUGCCUUGCCCUGCCCAGGUGCGAUAG